rnacentral:rRNA from 1 species
GACGAACGCUGGCGGCGUGCUUAACACAUGCAAGUCGAACGGAAAGGCCCUGCUUUUGUGGGGUGCUCGAGUGGCGAACGGGUGAGUAACACGUGAGUAACCUGCCCUUGACUUUGGGAUAACUUCAGGAAACUGGGGCUAAUACCGGAUAGGAGCUCCUGCUGCAUGGUGGGGGGUGGAAAGUUUCGGCGGUUGGGGAUGGACUCGCGGCUUAUCAGCUUGUUGGUGGGGUAGUGGCUUACCAAGGCUUUGACGGGUAGCCGGCCUGAGAGGGUGACCGGCCACAUUGGGACUGAGAUACGGCCCAGACUCCUACGGGAGGCAGCAGUGGGGAAUAUUGCACAAUGGGCGGAAGCCUGAUGCAGCAACGCCGCGUGCGGGAUGACGGCCUUCGGGUUGUAAACCGCUUUCGCCUGUGACGAAGCGUGAGUGACGGUAAUGGGUAAAGAAGCACCGGCUAACUACGUG